rnacentral:rRNA from 1 species
CUUUGAUUAUGGCUCAGGAUGAACGCUAGCGACAGGCUUAACACAUGCAAGUCGAGGGGCAGCGGGAGGAAAGCUUGCUUUCCUUGCCGGCGACCGGCGCACGGGUGAGUAACACGUAUGCAACCUGCCCAUGACAGGGGGAUAAGCGGGAGAAAUUCCGCCUAAUACCGCAUAACACCCCCGGGAGACAUCUCUCGGGAGUCAAAGGAGCGAUCCGGUCAUGGAUGGGCAUGCGGCGCAUUAGCUAGUUGGCGGGGCAACGGCCCACCAAGGCGACGAUGCGUAGGGGUUCUGAGAGGAAGGUCCCCCACACUGGUACUGAGACACGGACCAGACUCCUACGGGAGGCAGCAGUGAGGAAUAUUGGUCAAUGGGCGAGAGCCUGAACCAGCCAAGUCGCGUGAGGGAAGACGGUCCUACGGAUUGUAAACCUCUUUUGUCGGGGAGCAAUAAAGCGUACGCGUACGCAGAUGCGAGUACCCGAAGAAAAAGCAUCGGCUAACUCCGUGCCAGCAGCCGCGGUAAUACGGAGGAUGCGAGCGUUAUCCGGAUUUAUUGGGUUUAAAGGGUGCGCAGGCGGAAAGUGCAAGUCAGCGGUCAAACGACGGGGCUCAACCCCGUCUCGCCGUUGAAACAGUCUUUCUAGAGUGAGCGAGAAGUAUGCGGAAUGCGUGGUGUAGCGGUGAAAUGCAUAGAUAUCACGCAGAACUCCGAUUGCGAAGGCAGCAUACCGGCGCUCAACUGACGCUCAUGCACGAAAGCGUGGGUAUCGAACAGGAUUAGAUACCCUGGUAGUCCACGCAGUAAACGAUGAAUACUAAUUGUCCGGGCAGAGAGAUGCCUGGGUGAUACAGCGAAAGCGUUAAGUAUUCCACCUGGGGAGUACGCCGGCAACGGUGCAACUCAAAUGAAUUGACGGA